GAUGAACGCUGGCGGCGUGCCUAAUACAUGCAAGUCGAGCGAAUGGAUUGAGAGCUUGCUCUUAUGAAGUUAGCGGCGGACGGGUGAGUAACACGUGGGUAACCUGCCCAUAAGACUGGGAUAACUCCGGGAAACCGGGGCUAAUACCGGAUAACAUUUUGAACCGCAUGGUUCGAAAUUGAAAGGCGGCUUCGGCUGUCACUUAUGGAUGGACCCGCGUCGCAUUAGCUAGUUGGUGAGGUAACGGCUCACCAAGGCAACGAUGCGUAGCCGACCUGGGAGGGUGAUCGGGCACACUGGGAGUGAGACACGGCCCAGACUCCUACGGGAGGCAGCAGUAGGGAAUCUUCCGCAAUGGACGAAAGUCUGACGGAGCAACGCCGCGUGAGUGAUGAAGGCUUUCGGGUCGUAAAACUCUGUUGUUAGGGAAGAACAAGUGCUAGUUGAAUAAGCUGGCACCUUGACGGUACCUAACCAGAAAGCCACGGCUAACUACGUGCCAGCCGCCGCCGUAA
rnacentral:rRNA from 1 species